rnacentral:rRNA from 1 species
AGAGUUUGAUCCUGGCUCAGGACGAACGCUGGCGGCGUGCCUAACACAUGCAAGUCAAGGAGAAAGCUUCCUUCGGGAAGCGAGUAAACUGGCGAACGGGUGAGUAACGCGUAGGCUACCUACCCUUUUCUCCGACAUAACGCCGAGAAAUCGGCGCUAAUAUCGGACGAGGUUCCUUGGACACAGGGAAUCAAAGGUUUCGGCUGGAAAAGGAUGGGCUUGCGUCUGAUUAGCUAGUUGGCGGGGUAAAUGCCCACCAAGGCGACGAUCAGUAGCUGAUUUGAGAGGAUGAUCAGCCACACUGGAACUGAGACACGGUCCAGACUCCUACGGGAGGCAGCAGUGAGGAAUAUUGGUCAAUGGGGGAAACCCUGAACCAGCGACGCCGCGUGUGGGAUGACGGGGUUCUGCCCUGUAAACCACUGUGGAGAGUGAAGAAAAUUCCGUUCAGCGGGACUGGACAGUAACUCUCUAGAAAGGAUCGGCUAACUACGUGCCAGCAGCCGCGGUAAUACGUAGGAUCCAAGCGUUGUCCGGAAUUACUGGGUAUAAAGGGUGCGUAGGCGGACUUGCGCGUCAGAGGUUAAAGCUCGCGGCUCAACCGCGAAACAGCCUUUGAUACGGCAAGCCUUGAGUGCGAGAGAGGAUGGCAGAAUUCCUGGUGUAGCGGUGAAAUGCGUAGAUAUCAGGAGGAAUACCAGUUGCGAAGGCGGCCAUCUGGCUCGCUACUGACGCUGAGGCACGAAAGCGUGGGGAGCAAACAGGAUUAGAUACCCUGGUAGUCCACGCCCUAAACGAUGCAUGCUUGGUGUUGGAAAUUUUAUAUUUUCAGUGCCGGAGGUAAUCCGUUAAGCAUGCCACCUGGGGAUUACGAUCGCAAGGUUGAAACUCAAAGGAAUUGACGGGGGCCCGCACAAGCGGUGGAUCAUGUGGUUUAAUUCGAUGCAACGCGAAGAACCUCACCUGGGCUUGAACUGCGACGGGCGGCUUCCGAAAGGAAGCUUUCCUUCGGGACUGUCGCAGAGGUGCUGCAUGGCUGUCGUCAGCUCGUGCCGUGAGGUGUUGGGUUAAGUCUCGCAACGAGCGCAACCCCUAUCCUUAGUUGCCAUCAGUUCGGCUGGGCACUCUAGGGAGACUGCCUACGCAAGUAGCGAGGAAGGCGGGGAUGACGUCAAGUCAUCAUGGCCCUUAUGUCCAGGGCUACACACGUGAUACAAUGGUCGGUACAAUGGGCGAGACCGCGAGGUCAAGGUAAUCCCAAAAACCGAUCUCAGUUCGGAUUGUAGUCUGCAACUCGACUACAUGAAGCUGGAAUCGCUAGUAAUCGUAGAUCAGCACGCUACGGUGAAUACGUUCCCGGGCCUUGUACACACCGCCCGUCAAGCCAUGGAAGCUGAGGGAGCCCGAAGACGUUAUUUUAACGUCUAAGGCUAACUUAGUAACUGGGGCUAAGUCGUAACAAGGUAACC